UACGUAGGGUGCGAGCGUUGUCCGGAAUUACUGGGCGUAAAGAGCUCGUAGGUGGUUUGUCGCGUUGUUCGUGAAAUCUCACGGCUUAACUGUGAGCGUGCGGGCGAUACGGGCAGACUGGAGUACUGCAGGGGAGACUGGAAUUCCUGGUGUAGCGGUGAAAUGCGUAGAUAUCGGGAGGAACACCAGUGGCGAAGGCGACUACCUGGCCUGUUCUUGACGCUGAGGCGCGAAAGCUAGGGGAGCAAAGCGGG
rnacentral:rRNA from 1 species